CUUGUACUCCCUCCGUCCGAAAAUACUUGUCAUUCAAAUGGAUGUAUCUAGAUGUAUUUUAGUUCUAGACACACACAUUUUGAUGACAAGUAAUUCCGGACGGAGGGAGUACUUG
rnacentral:pre_miRNA from 1 species